rnacentral:rRNA from 1 species
UGCCGGCGACCGGCGCACGGGUGAGUAACACGUAUGUAACCUGCCCUAUGCAGGGGGAUAACCCGGAGAAAUCCGGCCUAAUACCGCGUAACACCUUUUGGGAGCAUUCCCGGGAGGUUAAAGGAGAGAUCCGGCAUAGGAUGGACAUGCGUCGCAUUAGGUAGACGGCGGGGUAACGGCCCACCGUGCCGACGAUGCGUAGGGGUUCUGAGAGGAAGGCCCCCCACACUGGUACUGAGACACGGACCAGACUCCUACGGAAGGCAGCAG